rnacentral:hammerhead_ribozyme from 1 species
GUACUGUGAAGAGUCCCAAGAGACUAGGACGAAACAGCUGUCCAGUAC